rnacentral:rRNA from 1 species
GAUUAACGCUGGCGGCAGGCCUAGCACAUGCAAGUCGAACGGGAUCUUCGGAUCUAGUGGCGGACGGGUGAGUAACGCGUGGGAACGUACCCUUUGGUUCGGAAUAGCCCUGGGAAACUGGGAGUAAUACCGGAUACGGUCGAGAGACGAAAGAUUUAUCGCCGAAGGAUCGGCCCGCGUUGGAUUAGGUAGUUGGUGGGGUAAUGGCCUACCAAGCCGACGAUCCAUAGCUGGUUUGAGAGGAUGAUCAGCCACACUGGGACUGAGACACGGCCCAGACUCCUACGGGAGGCAGCAGUGGGGAAUCUUAGACAAUGGGGGAAACCCUGAUCUAGCCAUGCCGCGUGAGCGAUGAAGGCCUUAGGGUUGUAAAGCUCUUUCAGUGGGGAAGAUAAUGACGGUACCCACAGAAGAAGCCCCGGCUAACUCCGUGCCAGCCGCCGCGGUAA